CAGAGGGUGCGAGCGUUAAUCGGAAUUACUGGGCGUAAAGCGCACGUAGUCGGCUUUGCAAGUCGGGUGUGAAAUCCCCGGGCUCAACCUGGGAACUGCAUCCGAGACUGCAUUGCUAGAGUAUGGGAGAGGGAAGCGGAAUUUCUGGUGUAGCAGUGAAAUGCGUAGAUAUCAGAAGGAACAUCAGUGGCGAAGGCGGCUUCCUGGACCAAUACUGACGAUCAGGUGCGAAAGCGUGGGGAGCAAACAGGAUUAGAUACCCUGGUAGUCCACGCCCUAAACGAUGAGAACUGGAUGUCGGGAGGGUUUGCCUUCCGGUGUCGUAGCUAACGCGUUAAGUUCUCCGCCUGGGAAGUACGGCCGCAAGGUUG
rnacentral:rRNA from 1 species